GUAGAAUCGAACGUCCCCGAGCGCACACGGCGUAGAGGACAGUACGGCGCACGAGUCUCUGGAAGGAAGAUAACGGGUUUCUUUUUUUGUCCCCUCUCCACUCAAACAACAAGAACAAACCAAACCUGAAUUUUUAGGGGGGUUUACAGAGUCUUCUCGUCUCAAGGAGGAGGGAAGCGAGGGAUUGGAGCCGCAAGUUUUUUUUUUUUCUUUUUCGUUUUUUUUCUCCUUUUCCCCUAAAAGAGGAUUCUGUGUUUCACGGUGGUUUGUUCUCCGCUCUCGCCGCAAAGAUGAUGGUCGGAGAGGUCGAAGUGAAGGAGCGACCGAGGCCGAGUCCCGACUAUUUGAUGCAAUUAUUAAACGAGAAGAAGCUCAUGACCAGUUUGCCAAAUCUCUGCGGCAUCUUCACACACCUGGAGAGGCUUCUCGAUGAAGAGAUCAACAGAGUGCGUAAAGACAUGUACAGCGACUCAGUGAAUGGCCUUGUGGACAGACACCCCCUGGAGCUGCCUGAGCCUCUCGGACCCAUCGUCCACCUGCAGGAAAAACUGUUUGUGCCUGUCAAAGAGUACCCUGAUUAUAACUUUGUGGGGAGAAUCCUGGGCCCUCGUGGACUCACAGCCAAGCAGCUGGAGGCAGAGACGGGAUGCAAAAUCAUGGUGCGAGGCAAGAGCUCCAUGAGAGACAAGAAGAAGGAGGAGCAGAACAGAGGGAAGCCAAACUGGGAACACUUAAACGAAGACCUUCAUGUCCUGAUCACAGUGGAAGACACACAGGGCCGAGCCGAGAUCAAGAUGAGGAGAGCCGUGGAGGAGGUCAAGAAGCUCCUUGUACCUGCUGCCGAAGGAGAAGACAAUUUGAAGAAGAUGCAGCUGAUGGAGCUGGCGAUUCUCAACGGGACAUACAGAGACAACAACAUCAAAACACCCACCCUUGCAUUCUCUCUUGCAGCGGCGGCAGCGGCCGCUCAGGGCCAACGUCUCAUAGCGGCCCCCAAUGGUCAGGUUAUGCCUCCCCAGGCUCUCCGGCCACAAACACCAGGCGGGGGCCCCAUCAUGAACCUCAUCCGAUCCCCUCAGAUGGCAGCCAUGAUGUCCAAUGGCACCCCCACCCUGGUGCCUCCCUCACCGGAUGGCGGUCUUAUCUACGCCACCCCAUACGACUACCCUUACGCCCUGGCACCCAGCUCUCUGCUGGAGUAUCCCAUCGACCACAGUGGGGUUCUAGGUAAGAGAGCCUGGGGGGGCAUGGGUCCAGGUACAAUGGCCCCCUUUAGCCAGUUUGGACAGGAGGGCAGCUUGUUUUACCCCGGAGCUGGGGUGAUGGACGCAGCUGCCAUGAGCCACAGUCAGGACUUGUUGAAAGGUGCAAUGGCUACUAAAGUGAGACGGCAUGACACGCGGGUCCAUCCUUACCAAAGGAUUGUGACCGCUGACAGAGGUCAGUUUAGUCUCUUAGCUACACUCUGCUAUUGAUUGAUUGCCUUUCAAUGAUUAUUAUGCCUAUUAUGCCUCGAUGCCUUAGUUAGGAAUUUGUACAUCAUCUGUAUUGCAUUUUGUUUUCCUCUCCCCCCCCCACUACCUUUCCUAUCCCACACAUCCACGUGCCAGCUAAAUGGUCGACUGUGCCGCCACCGGCAACUAACACAUGACCUUCUGACCUCUGAACUCUUCACCCAAUGACGAGCCGCCCCAAGCCUGCCUGCUGAUCAGUUAACUGGUAAUUGCCUUUUGCUAGCCUCUCGGACGCAAGUGAGAGAGAGAGGGAGAGAGAGAGGGAGGGAGGCGCCUGCCCGUACAGUUACCCUAACACGCUCUCAAAAAAACAAAGUAGAAACCAAUGGAGACUUCACAGAAACACAACAAAACCCAACGCCGUUGUGUAAGAUCCAUAUUUUUCCCUCUGUUCAUUGAGUUCAGUUCCCAUUCUUUCUCUUUCUUUUUCUUCAUGAAUCAUAUACCAGGUGGAUGCGUUUGUGGUAUUACUCAUAAAUCUGCACUGAAUUAUAUAUAGCAAUAAAGACCCCCAACCUGCCCACCCACCCUCCUUUUAAUCACUCUAAAUUGGGGACCUCACUUGUAUGAAUUACAAGUUCAAUGUCUAUUUGACGCAAACCAUUUGGUUUCAGUGUAAUCACAUGAUUUUCCCCCCCCCCCCGUCACCUGCCCCACCCUGUUGGGAGAGAAAAAGAAAUGGAAGGAAAGAGAACCUACGCUCACAUUAACUUGUUUAAUUUCUGUCAUUUUUCACGUGUAGUGCAUUUGUUGAGCUCUAAAAAUGUAAUUAUGAGCUGACACAUUCUGGGUGUGCCCCUCCAAACAGCUUCCUGUCUGUUUUUAAAAAAGCAUGGCUGACACGAUUGCAAAAAGAGCUUUUUAUGAUUUGUGUUUUUUUUUUUUUUUCCUUUUUUGGCUUUACUUUUGACUCAUUUUCUCCACUUGAUUUUGGUUUCUCUGUUGUUCAUAUUUGACUAAUUAGCUUUGCUUGAAUUGACUAGCCCAAAAUAAGGCAGGUGGUUACCUCUGGAAAACAAAAGCAAUCUGAUAUUUGAAGCAGGCAGCAGAAACUAAGGAAUAAUGAGGGGCAAGAUGGGAAGGUCACCGUUUUGGGGUGUGUGUGUGUGUGUGUGUGUGUGUGUGUGUGUGUGUGUGUGUGUGUUAAUUAAUACUACAAUGAAAGUAGGGUGUGCUGAGGCUUCGGGGACAUUGGGGCAGUGCUUAUUAGCUACUGACCAUCGCUACGUCCCCAUCCACACUACAUCCAUUAUACAGUGCCUGAUGUAUUUAGAAAAUGAUCUCAAUGAGUUAGCGGAGCUGUGAUUGAAAAGACAAAAAAAAAAAAAAAAGGUAUUACGUGUGCAUAUUUAGCCAAAGGGUUUUCCAUUGAAUUAUAUAUCUGCAAUUAUGCAUCCGUCUCACAGAGGGCUCUCUUUGUGACUUUAGAGUUUGGAAGGGUGUGAAUUUGUGGUGCCUGCCUUCAACUGGAACAGACAGCCAAGUCAGUAAGAUUACUUUUGACCCAUUAAUGCUCUUACUUCUUUCUGAGGAGGUGAAAGCAGGCAAUUAACACUAAAUCAACACGCUACUCAAAGACGGCGCGUAGCUAGGGGGAGGGCACUUUGAAGUUCUGUACAUAGAUGCUUUUGUCAUGAGGUUUCUAUCGUGAUCUGUUUCAUCAGCCACAUUGCCAAAAGAGCUUUUAUGUCUUUAUUUUUUUCAUCUCAACAUUUGGCCAAUUUUGUUUUUUAAAUGUCUUUUUUGUUUUGUAGCCCAAGUCAUCAGAUGGGCAUAAUCUGAGCCUUCCUGCAAAUUAGACAUUUUUUAGUCUUGUAUUAUUUUUGGGAUGAAACGUUUAUUUUCAACACAUGACGAACCCUCUAAAGCGCAUCCACAAUGUGUCACACCUCCGAUGAUCGUAGUCCUGAGCCCACAACCUUUUGUUCAACUCUCAAGAAAAAAAUAGGAUGUGAAAGCCAUGCCUGCCUGUUCAAAUUGCUUUAUACAUA